rnacentral:rRNA from 1 species
CGAACGCUGGCGGCGUGCUUAACACAUGCAAGUCGAACGGAAUCCAUGGUGUAGCAAUACACCGGAAGAUUUAGUGGCGAACGGGUGAGGAUCACGUGAGAAACCUGCCCCAGACUUUGGGAUAACAAUUGGAAACGAUUGCUAAUACCGAAUGACGUCGGAGAACCGCAUGGUUCACUGACGAAAGGAAAUCCGGUUUGGGAGGGUCUCGCGGCCUAUCAGCUUGUUGGUGGGGUAAUGGCCUACCAAGGCAACGACGGGUAGCUGGUCUGAGAGGAUGAUCAGCCACACUGGGACUGAGACACGGCCCAGACUCCUACGGGAGGCAGCAGUGGGGAAUCUUGCGCAAUGGGCGAAAGCCUGACGCAGCAACGCCGCGUGCGGGAUGAAGGCCUUCGGGCUGUAAACCGCUUUCAGCAGGAACGAAAAUGACGGUACCUGCAGAAGAAGGAGCGGCCAACUACGUGCCAGCAGCCGCGGUGACACGUAGGCUCCAAGCGUUGUCCGGAUUUAUUGGGCGUAAAGAGCUCGUAGGCGGUUUAGUAAGUCGGGUGUUAAAACUCUGGGCUCAACCCGGAGAGGCCAUCCGAUACUGCUGUGACUUGAGUUCAGGAGGGGAGCGGGGAAUUCCUAGUGUAGCGGUGAAAUGCGCAGAUAUUAGGAGGAACACCG